CACUCCUGCGGGAGGCAGCAGUGGGGAAUAUUGGACAAUGGGCGCAAGCCUGAUCCAGCCAUGCCGCGUGAGUGAUGAAGGCCCUAGGGUUGUAAAGCUCUUUCACCGGUGAAGAUAAUGACGGUAACCGGAGAAGAAGCCCCGGCUAACUUCGUGCCAGCAGCCGCGGUAAUACGAAGGGGGCUAGCGUUGUUCGGAUUUACUGGGCGUAAAGCGCACGUAGGCGGACUAUUAAGUCAGGGGUGAAAUCCCGGGGCUCAACCCCGGAACUGCCUUUGAUACUGGUAGUCUUGAGUUCGAGAGAGGUGAGUGGAAUUCCGAGUGUAGAGGUGAAAUUCGUAGAUAUUCGGAGGAACACCAGUGGCGAAGGCGGCUCACUGGCUCGAUACUGACGCUGAGGUGCGAAAGCGUGGGGAGCAAACAGGAUUAGAAACCCCGGUAGUCCC
rnacentral:rRNA from 1 species